AGCAGGCGCGUAAAUUGCCCGAAUCCUGACACAGGGAGGUAGUGACAAGAAAUAACAAUACAGGGCUACUUCUAGUCUUGUAAUUGGAAUGAGUACAACUUACAUCUCUUCACGAGGAUCAAUUGGAGGGCAAGUCUGGUGCCAGCAGCCGCGGUAAUUCCAGCUCCAAAAGCGUAUAUUAAAGUUGUUGCAGUUAAAACGCUCGUAGUCGGGUUUCGGGUCGGGCCGAGCGGUCUGCCGAUGGGUAUGCACUGUUUGGCGCGGCCUUCUUUCCGGAGACCGCGGCUACUCUUAACUGAGCGGGCGUGGGAGACGGAUCGUUUACUUUGAAAAAAUCAAAGUGUUUCAAGCAGGCAGCUCGCUCUUGCAUGGUACAGCAUGGGAUGAUUGAAUAGGACUCCGGUGCUAUUUUGUUGGUUUCGAACACCAGGAGUAAUGAUUAACAGGGACAGUCAGGGGCACUCGUAUUCCGUCGAGAGAGGUGAAAUUCUCAGACCAAUGGAAGACGAACCACUGCGAAAGCAUUUGCCAGGGAUGUUUUCACUGAUCAAGAACGAGAGUUAGGGGAUCGAAGACGAUCAGAUACCGUCGUAGUCUUAACCAUAAACCAUGCCGACUAGGGAUUGGAGGAUGUUCACUGAUUGACUCCUUCAGCACCUUACGGGAAACUAAAGUCUUUGGGUUCCGGGGGGAGUAUGGUCGCAAGGCUGAAACUUAAAGGAAUUGACGGAAGGGCACCACCAGGUGUGGAGCCUGCGGCUUAAUUUGACUCAACACGGGGAAACUUACCAGGUCCAGACAUUGUGAGGAUUGACAGAUUGAGAGCUCUUUCAUGAUUUAAUGGGUGGUGGUGCAUGGCCGUUCUUAGUUGGUGGAGUGAUUUGUCUGGUUAAUUCCGUUAACGAACGAGACCUUAGCCUGCUAAAUAGUGACGCGAACUCUUUGUUGGCGGGCCACUUCUUAGAGGGACAACUUGUCUUCAACAAGUGGAAGUUUGAGGCAACAACAGGUCUGUGAUGCCCUUAGAUGUUCUGCGCCGCACGCGCGCUACACUGAUGCACUCAACGAGUCUCCACCUUGACCGAGAGGUCCGGGAAACCUUCGAACUUGCAUCGUGAUGGGGAUAGAUUAUUGCAACUAUUAAUCUUCAACGAGGAAUACCUAGUAGGCGCAUGUCAUCAGCGCGCGUUGA
rnacentral:rRNA from 1 species